rnacentral:rRNA from 1 species
GACAGAGGGGGCAAGCGUUGCUCGGAAUCACUGGGCGUAAAGGGCGCGUAGGCGGGGCGGCAAGUCGGUCGUGAAAUCCUCCGGCUCAACCGGAGAACGUCGGCCGAUACUGCCGUUCUUGAGGGAUGCAGAGGAGACUGGAAUUCCCGGUGUAGCGGUGAAAUGUGUAGAGAUCGGGAGGAACACCGGUGGCGAAGGCGGGUCUCUGGGCAUCUCCUGACGCUGAGGCGCGAAAGCGUGGGGAGCAAACGG